rnacentral:lncRNA from 1 species
AAAAAAAAUUCCACAGUGCUGAACCACUCAACGAACACAAUGGAAUUCGUGGUUUCGCGAACUAAACGCCCUCUCAGAGAGGCCACUGAAGUAGGAGCGCCAAACACACUCUGAACUUUAAACGAAUUUUAAGUCUUCGUGAGAGUGUCGUGUUUAAUAACUCAAAAGUUUUAGAACAGCUCAAAAAUGCGCUUCAUUCAAUAAAGUACUUUCACUAUCUUACACUGUUAAUUUUAUCUGGAGUAUCAAUGAGAUGGCUCUAAUCAGAAUCAGCUCAACUACAAUAACACCAAUGCUUUGCGGAGCAAUGCUUGCGAAUGCAAUGCUUUGAGGAAAAAAUAGACGACGACGGCGUGCAGUGUAGCAAAGGUUGAUUCUGGAUAAUGUUACCCAAUUUAUUUACAGACAACACGUACAAAAACAUGAAUUGACAGUGACUGGAGGAAAAGGAAUAAUAACUACUCAGAUAAUAGGACGAGAAGAAGGAUGGUUUAUUGGGCGAAUCUCGAGACGGAACGAUAGUGUACAAACGACUCCCCACCGCCGGGCCGACGUUAGACACCGCCAUCAGAGUCCUAAACGAGGCUUUCUACCCGGAGGAGCCCCUGUGCAGGGCCCUGCAGGUGACACAAUCCCCUCAAGCAAUCUGUGAUCUCGAUGCACUAUUCCUGGGAAUGGCGCAAGACUACCUCUCCGUAGUCGCUCUCGACGCCAUGUCGCAUAAAGUCGUCGGCGUAUGUUUUAACAAAUUAGAGGAAACAGCCGGAAUCGACUUGUUCGAAAAAUACAAGACGGAUGCGGUCGUGGAUCUCGUAUGUCUCACAGUGCUGCCAGAUUUCAAACGGCGAGGAAUAGGAAAAUCCUUGAUGGAGCAUUCGUUGGAGCUAGCGAGGACGACAAACGCUGCAUCUGCUGCCUGCGUCGUCUGUUCAUCUACAUACACCCUUAAAAUGGCCAAAAGCAUUGGCUUCACCGAACUCACUUCCGUCCCCUAUUCUCAGUACAUUUACGAGGGCAGACAAUUUUCUGACGUCAUACGAGACCAUGCCAGUGUUGUUCUAGUUGCAAAAAAAUUGCAAUGAAAACUUGCAAUCUCCACGAGGAGAAAGAGCCAUACCCAAGAAGCAGUGAUAUCGAUAAGUUUCGAUUUGAACGGAGAAUGCAUGGCGAUUUUGUAAACGUCGAUUUAUCGCACUAUUAUCGGAUAAAAAAUUGCGAUAAAUUGCAAUUUCAUCGCAUAAAUUUGCAAUACAAUCGCGAUUUAUCAACGAUCAAAAAAUCGUAAAAAAUUGAGAUAAAAUUUCGAUUUUUUUCGAAUGUGAUUUUACCGAGAUAAAAUUGCGACAAGUGCAUUGUGUGUGUUUUUUAAAAAGAUGCAAAAACAUGUGUACUUUCGAAGUGUCAUAUUUGAGCGACAUUUUUAGAGCAUAUUCUUGAAAAGAUAAAAAAACGUUACACGAAACUUAACACAUUAACAAUGAUUAGCAAUCCCCACGAAAAUUAAAAUGUGGCGGUUAAUCUGCACAGUUGCAAAUAAAAAAAUAAAGAGGUGUUUUCCAACGUUCGCACCAAUAAAUACGGGUGUAUUUUUUUCCCUUUUUAAACCCAUCUUUUCUCUACCUUACAUUUCCAAAUUCUCUCAAUAAAAUUAAUGAAAUAUUUUAAAGUCAACGAAUAAGUACAUUAAAAUGCCCUCCUAGAAAUUCUGUUUUUGCAUUUCUUUCGAUCACUUAAAGGGAAACAUGCCAAGUGCUGAGUGAAAGAGUCUACCGCUUUUUGUUCUUAUUUUUUCAAGAAAUGAAAAGAAUUUUAUCAUUAUUUUUCUAAUUGUUGUAUGUGCCUAUAACUGGACAGAGUUAAACAGAAAGAGACCAAGCCACAUCAGCUAUUGCCAAAUUAAAUUGGCUAAUUUAAUUUUUAUACGAAAACAGUUGUGCGGAUUUUCGUGCAAAUUUCAGUGAAUUUUCUCCAUAGUACGAAGCAAAUUCCUUAACAUUUCAAAAGGACAAACGUUUUCUCGUAAAAAAUUAAAUUGCCCAGUUAAAAUUGGACGUAUUUCUAUCAAACAGACCUAUGUGCAAGUGAGAAAUGUGGGGUGUGCUCGUUAAAGGUCGGGCCAUAAGAAUGAGUGGGGAAUAUAAAGCGCCAGUGACGUCAGCGGUGACGACCGGGCUCGUCGGGAACGACAAGCUCGACGUCGGAGCGCUUUAACUCAUGAGCCUGUCCACAAGGUUCUUGCCGCAUGCCCGCGGCUCAUGAAUUCCGCAUGCAGUUGCACAUAGGUCUGU